rnacentral:rRNA from 1 species
CAGUAGCCGCGGUAACACGGAGGGGGCUAGCGUUGUUCGGAAUUACUGGGCGUAAAGCGCACGUAGGCGGCUUGGUAAGUUAGAGGUGAAAGCCCGGAGCUCAACUCCGGAAUUGCCUUUAAGACUGCCGAGCUAGCAGGUGAGAGAGGUAAGUGGAAUUCCGAGUGUAGAGGUGAAAUUCGUAGAUAUUCGGAAGAACACCAGUGGCGAAGGCGGCUUACUGGCUCAUACUGGACGCUGAGGUGCGAAAGCGUGGGGAGCAAACAGGAUUAGAUACCCAGUAGUCCCUGUCUCUUAUACA